CAGGUUCUUCCCAGAAGCCUGUUUCAGUAAAUUGCAUGACAGUGUGAAAAUAUCAAAUAAAGAUGAAUCUCUGAAGGAAGAGGCUAUUUUCCUGUGCUUGGUCAGUGGAUGAGUAGUAUCAGCUUGAUUAAUUUCAUUAGUUAGUUGGGACAGGAUUGUCACUCCUAUGAUGCAGUGUUCUACACUAUCCUGCAAGAACCUUGUGACGUCUGUGAUCACGUUCCUGAAGACAUAUUCAUCCUUCUGACAGUCAAAC
rnacentral:lncRNA from 1 species